rnacentral:rRNA from 1 species
ACACGUAGGGGGCAAGCGUUGUUCGGAAUUACUGGGCGUAAAGGGCACGUAGGCGGUCCUGUAAGCCUGACGUGAAAGGCUAUGGCUCAACCAUGGCAUUGCGUUGGGAACUGCGGGACUUGAAUCACGGAGAGGGAGCUGGAAUUCCAGGUGUAGGGGUGAAAUCUGUAGAUAUCUGGAAGAACACCAAUGGCGAAGGCAAGCUCCUGGCCGAUGAUUGACGCUGAGGUGCGAAAGUGUGGGGAUCAAACAGGAUUAGAGACCCUGGUAGUCCACACUGUCAACGAUGUGCACUAGGUGCUGGGGCGGACGCUUCAGUGCCGGAGCUAACGCGGUAAGUGCACCGCCUGGGGAGUAUGCUCGCAAGGGUGAA